rnacentral:rRNA from 1 species
GACAACGCUGGCGGCGUGCUUAACACAUGCAAGUCGAGCGGUAAGGCUCCUUCGGGAGUACACGAGCGGCGAACGGGUGAGUAACACGUGAGUAACCUGCCCCUUUCAUCGGAAUAACCAGUGGAAACGCUGGCUAAUGCCGAAUACGACCACCGAAGGCAUCUUCUGGUGGUGGAAAGCUCCGGCGGAAAGGGAUGGACUCGCGGCCUAUCAGCUUGUUGGUGAGGUAAUGGCUCACCAAGGCAACGACGGGUAGCCGGCCUGAGAGGGUGACCGGCCACACUGGGACUGAGACACGGCCCAGACUCCUACGGGAGGCAGCAGUGGGGAAUAUUGGACAAUGGGCGAAAGCCUGAUCCAGCAACGCCGCGUGAGGGAUGACGGCCUUCGGGUUGUAAACCUCUUUCAGUAGGGACGAAGCGAAAGUGACGGUACCUACAGAAGAAGGACCGGCCAACUACGUG